GGCAUUCUGCGAUAAGCGAUCUUUGGGAACGCGAGUGUAAAUGUGGUUGUGUGUGUGAGAACAUUGAGCGCCCGGGACAAAAAAUCAUUCGCUCCCCUCAUUUCAUAUCAAAUCACAAAUUUCGAACUAAGACGCUGAAACAAUUAGUUAUUCAGUGGAGAGCGGUGUUAUUGAAGCUGCACGAUUAUUCAUUUCAAUUAAUCGCUGAAAAGAAAUCGACUGUUCAUUAAUCAAACGUAUAGUUUUAAAGGUAUUCGUACAAAUUCGUAGAAAAGUAAACAUUUAUUUAUUUAGCUCCAAUGCAAAAGAUUCUUGGCAAAGUGUGCCAAGUAAAAGGUGUACAAUCUAUUAAGAAUAAUAGCAAUUGGCUUUUGCCAAGAAAAAUGGUAAAAUGUAUAAAUAGUUUAUAACCACCACUGAUUAAUGAUCUUACUUUGGGUGACAUACUCGUAGACAACAAAGACUUGUUAAACGAUAUUCAAGACGUCUUACUUUUACAAAAAAAAAGAGCGAAGAAGAACGUAGAGUAAUUGGAUUCUCGCCUGAACAGCUUCUGUUAAAUAUUUCAUUGGGACAAGAAGCUUACAAGUCAUUAGCGACAGCUUUGCAAAUAUUACUAACUAUACCUUUUUUUACUUUUUUAAAUUCACGGAUCAGCAAAUAUCGUUUUGCUGCUUUGCUGGGUAGACAGCUUGGCGGCUGCCAUCAUAGCCAGUGUCGCCUCUGCUACCCCACUGAUGCCACCGUUGCUGUUGCUGCUGCUGCCCUUGGCGGUGCUAUCGCUGCUACCUGGCCCCCAGGAGGCGCCGUCGACGCCCGUCCA